GGAAGACCAAUCCGACGCUACGAUUCCGAUUGGGCCACGCCUCCCAUGCUCAGAGCCCCUCCCAGGAAGGUCUCCGGUCAUCUCAGAGCCGCCCCUUCCGCCUGCGCCUCGCCCAGCCAGGCCGGCGCCGGAGCUGGGUCAGCGCAGUCAGUGAAAGCAGUGUACCGCCAUCUUUUUUGUGGGCAAAGAGUCCUUCGAGGUUUAUGUUUCCAAAGUAGGCUUCUCAGGAAGCCCAUAGAGAGACGUUCGAAAGAGAAUGGGCUCCUUGCACACUGAAAUACUGAGCCGAAUGGUUGGGGGUCGAAGUGGCAACCCAUGAAACCGAGAAUAAACGAGAGGCCUGCCCUGAGUAAAGUUGCAAAAGUUUCAGUCCAUGGACACUUGCUGCUGGAAGACAUGGGAGAGAGAGUCAAGCUACAGCAGUGGGACCAAACCUACAUUCAUCAUCUUCUGCCCUGUUUUACAAAGGAUUUGGGGAACGUUUGGAUCUGAUCUAGAAAAAUACUUUUCUGACCUCUGGGUCCCCACCCCCAGAGCUGGAAAAGCCAGAUCCUGUGUGGCUGGUUGGUCUUGUCAUCCUAUUGCCAUCAUCUCUGCAGAACAGACAUGA
rnacentral:lncRNA from 1 species